UUCAUUGAUGCGUUGAUGCUUCAUUCGAAAUUUUGCUCAAAUCCAUUUUGAUAAUAAUAAUUUUCGAUGGUGAGCAAAGCUUCAAAUGAGAUUUCACGGAAUUCGGUC
rnacentral:pre_miRNA from 1 species